rnacentral:rRNA from 1 species
UCGAGAAUCUUCCGCAAUGGACGAAAGUCUGACGGAGCGACGCCGCGUGAUUGAUGAAGCAAUUCGUUGUGUAAAGAUCUUUUAUGAGGGAAGAAGUUUAUUGACUGUACCUCAUGAAUAAGGGGCUCCUAAUCUCGUGCCAGCAGGAGCGGUAAUACGAGAGCCCCGAGCGUUAUCCGGAAUUAUUGGGCGUAAAGGGUGCGUAGGUGGUUGUGUUAGUCGUUUGUCAAAUCUCUGGGCUUAACCCAGAAACCGCGAGCGAAACGGCACAACUAGAGAAUGUGGGGGGCAUAGGGAACUCAUGGUGUAGGGGUGAAAUCCGUUGAUAUCAUGGGGAACACCAAAAGCGAAAGCACUAUGCUAACACAUAUCUGACACUCAAGCACGAAAGCGUGGGUAGCGAAUG